UAUAGCGAUUUUUUUCUAUGGUACACAUUUUGUUGUGCUAUGAAAUUAGAGUGCUUGCAGUGUAUUUGUUGAAAAAAAAAGUUAAACUAUUAAAAGGAUAUUGCAUAAUAUUAUUAACUAUUGUGAUUGAUGUGUUUUUAAUUUGAAUUUUAUUUAAUAUAAUUACCAAACAUAAAUACAUUUAUUCCAUUUGUAUUUUGAAACUUAAAACUUUUCAUUUGUGCUGUUCAUUGUUAUACAAGGACACUUGAGUGCUUUCAUUGUAUUUGUUCUCAUAUCUGUAUUUCAUAUUGUAAGUCAUGGUUCAAUGUAAAAAAUUGUACAUAUAUUUUUAUUUUGAUACUUCUUAAAAUUUUGUUGUUUGCAAGAAUGGUUUAGCAUAUUUAUAAACUAUGUAAGAAACCUUUUUGUAAAACAUUCUAAAUUUAUAUCUAAAGGAAACUUUGUUGUCUAGGAAAUUCCAAAAACUUCUUUUAUUUUAAAAUCAUUUUAGAAAUAAUUAUCACCGUCAUUUCUCAAUAUUUUUUUUUUAUACAUAAAUUACUUAGGCUCAGAUGUAAUAAAAUAGAUUCUUUAAAUUAACAAAUGGUUAGAGAAUAAUCAAUUUGGAAUAAUGGCAAGCAGAUUCAAUUAUCUGAUGAUAUAGUUAAUAAACUGUUUAAAAUAAAAAGGUGUAAAAAAAUAUAUGGUUCUAUUAUUGGUUUCUUUAAUAUUAAUGCACCAAUAUUAUCCAACUGCAUGGAACAAGUUAAAGUUCAGAGUCUCAGGUUGUGAUAAUUCCAUUUUUUUUGGCAGUAUUUGAAAUAAUUUUGUAUGUACUAUUGAAUGUAAAAGCCCCAGACUUUUUUGUAUGCUCUUUUUGCAUUUGGAUUUUUUUUUCUAAAUUAAAUACAAAAUAAUAAAAAAAUUUUACACUGACAU